UACGAGGGGGGCGAGCGUUGUUCGGAAUUAUUGGGCGUAAAGGGUGCGUAGGCGGUUCCGCAAGUCCUGUGUGAAAUCUUCGGGCUCAACUCGAAGUCUGCACGGGAAACUGCGGGGCUUGAGUGUGGGAGAGGUGAGUGGAAUUCCUGGUGUAGUGGUGAAAUACGUAGAUAUCAGGAGGAAUACCGGAGGCGAAGGCGGAUAGCUGGGCCAACACUGACGCUGAGACCCGAAAGCGUGGGGAUCAAACAGG
rnacentral:rRNA from 1 species